rnacentral:rRNA from 1 species
AUUCCAGCUCCAAUAGCGUAUAUUAAUGUUGUUGCAGUUAAAAAGCUCGUAGUUGGAUUUCUGGAUUGAGCGGCUGGCCUUGCGCGCAGGCGUUCGUGUCGGCUUCGUUUCGGUCCAUCCUCAGGGGGACUUGCGCUGGCAUUAACGUGUCGGUGUUGGGACGCCUGUCGUUUACUGUGAACAAAUUAGAGUGUUCAAAGCAAGGUGUACUUGAAUACAUUAGCAUGGAAUAAUAAGAUAGGACUUUGGUGGUUCUUUUUGAUAUUUUGUUGGUUUGCACGCCAAAGUAAUGAUUAAUAGGAGCAGUUGGGGGUAUUCGUAUUCAAUUGUCAGAGGUGAAAUUCUUGGAUUUAUAGAAGACGAACUACUGCGAAAGCAUUUACCAAGGAUGUUUUCAUUA